UACAGAGGUCUCAAGCGUUGUUCGGAUUCAUUGGGCGUAAAGGGUGCGUAGGUGGCGCGCUAAGUCAGGUGUGAAAUUUCGGAGCUUAACUCCGAAACUGCAUUCGAUACUGCGGUGCUUGAGGACUGGAGAGGAGACUGGAAUUCAUGGUGUAGCAGUGAAAUGCGUAGAGAUCAUGAGGAAGACCGGUGGCGAAGGCGGGUCUCUGGACAGUUCCUGACACUGAGACACGAAGGCCAGGGGAGCAAACGGG
rnacentral:rRNA from 1 species